UUAACCCAGCGGUUAGAGUAUUGCUUUCAUACGGCAGGAGUCAUUGGUUCAAAUCCAAU
rnacentral:tRNA from 1 species